UUCUUCUUUUCUCUAAUCAACCUGUUACUACGCAUCUCAGGAGAAGGUCGGACUGGAACCUGGGCCUCCUGGUCCAGGGAUAGGGACAGCAAAGGGCCCAGCAGCAUUCUAAAGCUAACCAAAGCAAAACUAAGUGUCUAACAGAUGGUGCACAAAUCAUUUUGAUGAACCAUCAAAUUCCACUUCCAGGCAAUUCAUGGAUUUAUCCUGCAUUGAAACGGCGAAGACUCAGCAAAUUUCAAUACCACGAUCAUGAAGGUCAUAAGAUGGAGUGUCAAGGAUGGAGGAGAUAUUAUGAGAAAAAAAAUCACAUUCCAAUGCUUAGAGGAAUUGUACACAACCUGCAAUGAAAUAAAACAGUAGCAAGCUCAUCUCUACUCAGUGUUCCAUUGAAGCUCAAUACAAGCUGGAAGAAGAGCACUUGAACUUUUCUGCAACGCUGUCUAGUCUUCAAGACUCAACAUAGGACUCAACAAAAUCAGCUCAUGAAUAUUGUCCUACAUUUUGAUCAUGACAUCCCACCACCACCAAUCUCUGAGCCUCAUUGGCUCUGUUUUCAGGAGAGCUGACCCUAAACGUAAAAUUAAAAAGCUUUGUCUUUUAAAAAGUUUUCUCAGAUGUUUAAAAUUUUACGUUGUGUGCAACAGCAAUUCUUUACAAUAGCAGGAAUAAAUUGUUCACCUUUCACAAAUAUUUGUGUGACAGAAAUAUAAAGUUUGC